rfam:Schistosoma rodhaini strain Burundi genome assembly, scaffold: SROB_scaffold0004826
AUUCAGCUGAUGAGUCUUAAAUAGGACGAAACGUACAUUCUGGAU